UCCCUGGUGGCUCAGAUGGUAAAGCGUCUGACUACAAUGCAGAAAACGCAGGUUAGAUCCCUGGGUUGGGAA
rnacentral:tRNA from 1 species